CAUUCAGUGUGGAGCCCCACGCAGGGCUCGAUCUCCACCCUGAGAUCAUGACCCGAGCUGAAAUCAAGAGUCAGAUGCCCCCCACAGUGCAUCUUUUGACGUGCAAUUUCCUCAUUCACUUGUCCUCAACCAGAGUUUCUAAACUUGAGUGUGGUAACGGGUCAAAUGGUGCCCUCCCUGCCUCCGCCAAGAGAGGUCUCCGGAACUUGUGAAGGUGAGCGGAUAGGCUGUUUUUGCAGGUGUAAUAACGCGCGGGUCUCCAGCCGGGGGCGCUAUAUCCAGGGACGAGCGUCCUUGGGAGAACCGGCGCAUGAGCAGACGCAGGGAGGGAAGACAUUGUGAAGACCAGGCAGACGCCGCAGCGGGGCAGCCUCGAGGAGCGCGGCAGCAAGAGCUGGAAGAGGCGAAAGGAGCCUUCGAAGCGAGUGCUGCCCUGCCCACACUUCCAGAACUGUGAGAAAUUAAGACCCGGAUCAUCAUGUAUGAAGUUCAGCUAUCCUACUGGAUAGACCACGUGGAGAGGCUCUGCAAAUACAGAAAGAGGGAGAACGCCUAGCUGAGACCUACCUGAUGGCCAUCCUUGUCAAAAUAAGAAGUUUGUGAGUGAAACCUGCAUAGAUCCUUCAAAUCAGCCCUGUUUUCAGGUAAUAGAGGGUGAACAGGUGUUCAUCCACAUCAGAGAAAUAUGAGGCCGACAUCAUGACCUAAGAACAGAACAAAGCCCUCCAGCCUUACGAUUUGGAGAAUCGUUAUGGAAUGAUUGGAGUUUCUGUUUUUGGCAACACCGUGAUGUCUCAAGAUACCUGAGUUCAAAGCUUGCAUGUUCCAUUUCAGGCAUUCUUACUUCUUCUAUAACCAGUGUCUUCCUGUUUGCAGUGGCAGGCGAGUCUCAAGAUGUGUAUGACACUUCUGGAAAACUGUUGUCUCUCUCACCAAAUGAGUCUGUGAAGAUUUGAGAAGAGCCAGAGAGAAAACACCCCCAAGAAAUCAUCAUAUAAACACUCUUCUAAGGAGAUUCUCUUUGAAUUUCAUUUGCUGUGUCUCCUCAAAGCACGGCUACAGUUUGUCCACAGAAAGUCAUUGUGUUCUGAGCUGUGCUGUGGUGUUUUUUCUGCCCGUCAUCUGAAACAGCAAAGCAGGGGCUUGUCAAUGAGGCGCCACUGAAUGG